rnacentral:rRNA from 1 species
CAGCGCCGCGGGAAAACGGAGGGUGCAAGCGUUAAUCGGAAUUACUGGGCGUAAAGCGCACGCAGGCGGUCUGUCAAGUCAGAUGUGAAAUCCCCGGGCUUAACCUGGGAACUGCAUUUGAAACUGGCAGACUGGAGUCUUGUAGAGGGGGGUAGAAUUCCAGGUGUAGCGGUGAAAUGCGUAGAGAUCUGGAGGAAUACCGGUGGCGAAGGCGGCCCCCUGGACAAAGACUGACGCUCAGGUGCGAAAGCGUGGGGAGCAAACAGGAUUAGAUACCCCGGUAGUCCCUGUCUCUUAUAAC